AACGAACGCUGGCGGCAUGCCUAACACAUGCAAGUCGAACGAGACCAUCAGGACUAGUGGCGCACGGGUGCGUAACGCGAGGGAACCUGCACAUAGGGUCGGAAUAACUACAAGAAAGGGGUAAUAAUACGGGAUAAUGUCUUAGGACCAAAGAUUUAUCGAAUUGGGAUGGGCCCGCGUUGGAUUAGCUAGUUGGUAGGGUAAAAGACUCCCAAGGCGACGAUCCAUAGCUGGUCUGAGAGGAUGAUCAGCCACCCUGGGACUGAGACACGGCCCAGACUCCUCCGCGAUGCAGCAGUGCGGAAUAUUGGACCAUCGGCGGAAGCCUGAUCCAGCACUGCCGCGUGAGUUCUGAUGUCCUUAGGGUUCUAAAGCUCUUUUACCCGGGCUGAUCUUGACAGUACCGGGAGAAUAAGCUCCGGCUAACUCCGUG
rnacentral:rRNA from 1 species